GCGAAAGCAGGUCAUAGUGAUCCGGUGGUUCUGAAUGGAAGGGCCAUCGCUCAACGGAUAAAAGGUACUCCGGGGAUAACAGGCUGAUACCGCCCAAGAGUUCAUAUCGACGGCGGUGUUUGGCACCUCGAUGUCGGCUCAUCACAUCCUGGGGCUGAAGUAGGUCCCAAGGGUAUGGCUGUUCGCCAUUUAAAGUGGUACGCGAGCUGGGUUUAGAACGUCGUGAGACAGUUCGGUCCCUAUCUGCCGUGGGCGCUGGAGAACUGAGGGGGGCUGCUCCUAGUACGAGAGGACCGGAGUGGACGCAUCACUGGUGUUCGGGUUGUCAUGCCAAUGGCACUGCCCGGUAGCUAAAUGCGGAAGAGAUAAGUGCUGAAAGCAUCUAAGCACGAAACUUGCC
rnacentral:rRNA from 1 species